AUUUUAGUCACUUGACUUUCUCGAGCAUGUCAAUGGCAAAACCCUCACUGGCUUAAAGUGGACCAGGACUGGACCUAGAGACAGCAUUCUGCUAUACUGUGUUGGGGUCAGAAAUGCCUGCAUGGACUAUGUCGCUUUCAAGGUAAUUUUAUGGUUGGUGAGAGCAUGGAGAUGUAGAUUCUGGGCUGGAAAUAUUGAGUGUGAGAUAACCCAGAAGAACCUCUGCAAUCAAACCUUACCAAGAGACUGAUUUCUGUGUACAAACCUGAGCCUCCAAUUAAUUUUGUUUCUCUCUCAUUAUUCUGCAACUUGCCCUGCA